AGUUAACAAGUUCAGGUAUAACUGGUAAAUUCAACUUUCUUUUUCCACCACCAUCCUCGAAGAAGCUGAACCAGGGCUAAAAUUGCUGGCUUUAAUUGUUAUGCUUCACUCAGGAUAUGUGUUCCUGGAAUCAUGAGUAAUUGAUUAAGAAGAAUGCGUAGUGCUAUAACUCAUAGUGCUUUUCCUCUUAUCUUUUUUUUGGGUGCAUAUUUGUGGAACCUAAAUGUGUUCUGUUGGUUCUUCAGAUGGCUUUAAACAAAAGAA
rnacentral:misc_RNA from 1 species